rnacentral:antisense_RNA from 1 species
UCGCCGUGUACCCCCACGUGGCGUCCCGGUCGACGAGCAUGCGCUCGCCGAAGUGGUCGCCGUCGCCGUGCAGUCCGAGCACGGUGCGGUCCCCGUAGGGGCCCUCGCCGAAGCGGUUGAUCUUGCCGUGCACGACCAGGAAGACCCGGUCGGUCGGCUCCCCCAGGGUCGCCAGCGUCUCCCCAGCGGCAAACUCCCGCCGCACGAACCGGUCCGCCAGGGCGCGCAGCACCUCCUCGUCCUCGAACCCGCGCAGCGGCGCCAACUCGCCCAACUCCGCCGGGAUCACCCGCACAUCGGAACCGGUCUGGACGAACUGGACCCGGCCGUCCCCCACCCGGUAGCUCAGCCGUCGGUUGACCCGGUACGUACCACCCGAUACCUGGACCCACGGCAGCAUCUUCAGCAGCCAUCGCGACGUGAUGUCCUGCAUCUGCGGGACGGUCUUGGUGGUCGUCGCGAGAUUCCGCGCCGCCUCCGUCGCGAGACUCGAACGGGC